rnacentral:rRNA from 1 species
UACGUAGGGUGCGAGCGUUAAUCGGAAUUACUGGGCGUAAAGCGUGCGCAGGCGGUGAUGUAAGACAGAUGUGAAAUCCCCGGGCUCAACCUGGGAACUGCAUUUGUGACUGCAUCGCUGGAGUGCGGCAGAGGGGGAUGGAAUUCCGCGUGUAGCAGUGAAAUGCGUAGAUAUGCGGAGGAACACCGAUGGCGAAGGCAAUCCCCUGGGCCUGCACUGACGCUCAUGCACGAAAGCGUGAGGAGCAAACAGG